UCAAGCUAGAAAGAGCGCAAGGGGAAUGCCUUGGCAUCGAGAGCCGAUGAAGGACGUGACAAGCUGCGAUAAGUCUGGGGGAGCUGCACAUAAGCUUUGAUCCCGGAAUUUCCGAAUGGGGAAACCCGGCAGAGCAAUACUCUGUCAACCUGCGUUGAACAAAAUAGGCGUAGGUAGGGAACCGCCUGAACUGAAACAUCUAAGUAGGGCGAGGAAGAGAAAUCAACCGAGAUUCCGCUAGUAGUGGCGAGCGAACGCGGAAGAGGGCAAACCAGAGGAUUUAUUCUCUGGGGUUGUGGACUUGCACACGGCAUACUAGGUUAGCUGAAUGGUAUGGGAAGGCCAUCCACAGAGGGUGAGAGACCCGUAAGCGAAAACCGAUGUAUGCCAGCGAGGAUCCAGAGUACCGCGGGACACGUGAAACCCCGUGGGAAGCUGGGGGGACCACCCUCCAACCCUAAAUACUACUCGAUGACCGAUAGAGGAGCAGUACCGUGAGGGAAAGGUGAAAAGGACCCCGGGAGGGGAGUGAAACAGAACCUGAAACCUUGUGCUUACAAGCACUCAGAGCUCGUUAAAGAGUGAUGAGGUACCUUUUGUAGAAUGGUCCGGCGAGUUAUUGUACGUAGCGAGCUUAAGGUAUUCAGUACCGAAGGCGAAGCGAGAGCGAGUCUGAAUAGGGCGACUGAGUUGCGUGCAAUAGACCCGAAACCAGGUGACCUAUCCAUGGGCAGGUUGAAGUGGGGGUAAAACCCCAUGGAGGACCGAACCGACCCCCGUUGCAAUGGUGGCGGAUGACCUGUGGAUAGCGGAGAAAUUCUAAUCGAACUUGGAGAUAGCUGGUUCUCCCCGAAAUAGCUUUAGGGCUAGCGUUAGUUUAGAUUACCGGAGGUAAAGCACUGAAUGGGCUAGGGGCUGAUAAAGUUACUGAACCCUAUCAAACUCUGAAUGCCGGAUAAUUGAUGACUAGCAGUCAGACUACGUGAGAUAAGUCUCGUGGUCAAAAGGGAAACAGCCCAGACCCACAGCUAAGGUCCCAAAGAUACGCUAAGUGGAAAACGAUGUGGAAUUGCGAAAACAACCAGGAUGUUGGCUUAGAAGCAGCCACUCAUUAAAAGAGUGCGUAAUAGCUCACUGGUCGAGUGAUUCUGCGCGGAAAAUGUAACGGGGCUAAGCGUAACACCGAAGCUUGGGAUGCAGCAAUGCAUGGUAGGGGAGCGUCGAAUGAGGGGUGAAGUCGUAGCGGAAGCAGCGGUGGACUUCAUUCGAGUGAGAAUGCCGGAAUGAGUAGCGAGAAUUAUGUGGGAAUCAUAAUGGCCGAAAAUCUAAGGUUUCUUGGGGAAGGUUCGUCCGCCCAAGGUAAGCCGGGAGCUAAGGCGAGGCCGCGAGGCGUAGUCGAUGCACAUACGGUUGAAAUUCCGUAGCCACCGAAACUUAAGCUAGAAGGACACUUGGAGCUAUCCAGACCCGGGCGUUGGUUGACCCGGGCGUAAGGGACCGAAAUUAAGUAGGGAAGCUGGAGAAUGACGAGGCGAGAAAAGUUCUAGUGUAUGCUAAGGUGCCCGUACCGCAAACCGACACAGGUAGAUGAGGAGAGAAUCCUAAGGCCAACGGGAGAAGGGUUGUUAAGGAACUCGGCAAAAUUACCCCGUAACUUCGGGAUAAGGGGAGCUCCGAAAGGAGCCGCAGAGAAUAGGCCCAAGCGACUGUUUACCAAAAACACAGGUCUAUGCUAAAUCGAAAGAUGACGUAUAUGGGCUGACGCCUGCCCGGUGCUGGAAGGUUAAGAGGAGGGCUUAGCGCAAGCGAAGGUCUGAAUUGAAGCCCCAGUAAACGGCGGCCGUAACUAUAACGGUCCUAAGGUAGCGAAAUUCCUUGUCAGGUAAGUUCUGACCCGCACGAAUGGCGUAACGAUUUGGGCGCUGUCUCAACAGCCC
rnacentral:rRNA from 1 species